UCGCGAAUCCAAGUGAACUCCGAGCUGUUAGUGGAGCCGGAGAAAACUAUUAGAGGCACACUCACUUCGAAAUUUUCAGUCGCUUUUGCCCAUUUUUGUAUGUAUAUGUCCAUCCAUGCGGUGCAUUGAGUGCGACGGGUAUAGUUUCACCACCGAAGGUAUUCCCUGUUACUAUCAUUGUGUAAUCUACUCUUGUAUAUGUUCCAAAAAGGAUUAUGAAGAGGUUUUUCUUCUUGAUUAAGUUCUAUCCACGAUUUGUUUUGUUAUGACCUUUGUCAUUGACUCAUUAAUAUGCAUAUUAUUUAGUUGAUUAAUUUGGUUUUGUUCCAAGUAAAACGCUUUGAUCUAAACAAGCUAUAGAUUAAAUCAAUAUUUUUCUUUCAAACCUUAGUCCCAAAUUAUAGCCGCGAUAAGAGAUGUAAACUUUACCUUUAACUAGAUCGUCUACCACUUAAUAAACUUAAAGAAUUAGUUCAUUUGUCAUAUUUCCUUGUAUUUGUUCAUAUCCAUAGACCACCAACUGAUGCUUGAAGUUAACUUUAUGAUUUUGUAUCCGUUGGUAGAGCAUUACUUAUGGUCAUAAUAUUCAGGUCGCAACUUACGUAAGGGGUAGCAGCGCCGCUUGUUUCUCGUUUACCAUCUAUCUCGAUGUAAAUUCAUAACAUGUGAAAGACAAUAUUCUUCGUUAUAUCAAUAAAGAUCACAAGCGUGCUUUUUAAUGUACAUUUUGUCUAUAUGAUAAAUUGCUAAAAAUGUAAGUUAAUAUACAUGUAUAUCAAUGUGGAGUGUAUUACAUGUAAGAGAACUCAUUGCUCCAUAAAUACUUUGCUGUUGCAUUUAUUUGAAAAUUCUAAUUCAUGAAACCAAAAAUGAAAACAAAGGAAACCAACCCCUAUCCCCAAGAUAUGAACUUUUUUAUGAUGCUUCAUCUUUCUCAGGUCGAUAUAUCGGUGUUGAUUAGCCAAAUGUCAUAAUGGUUGAGAAGCAUGGGUCCAUGAUUGUAUAGAAAGGGUUGAUGUACUAAACACAUUAGUGAUCGACAUAUGAAAUUCGGUAUAAUCAAAAGUUGACGAUU
rnacentral:lncRNA from 1 species